UCGUUUUAGCUACUAAAGCAGCCAGCCUGGUGUCUGGCGAAAGAAGGAAUGGAGCGAGCCUGGCAAUGAAAGGCCUGUCAAGCUCUUAGGAGACUUCAAAGGAGGACUGGCAAGAAGAGGCAAUGCAUAAUCCAUGGAGAGGAAGGAGUGAUGGGAGGAUGGGAGGAAGAGCCUUUGAUAGAAGCUCUUGCUGCAGCACCUGAGAUCCUACAUAAUCCCUGGGCAAAGCAUCCAGAAGAAGCCAGCAGCACCAAAGGCAGAGAUUGCAUCCUUUGCCAGGAGAACAAGGUCAGAGACCACUAUUUCCCCAGAAACUGGGAAGAUUCAUCCUUUCCCUUCAAGCCAGGAGGAUUCCAGCCUCAAAGUCCAUGAGCAGAGAUCCCCUGAAGUCUGGACAUUAGGCAUAGGCUAUGAUGUAGCCCCAGAGGGUGAUUAUUGAUUAAUAAGAGUUGUGAGUAAAAGCUUUCAUACCUCUGUAAUAUCUGUUGCCUCUGCCAGAGAGCAGAAUCAGCUCCAGCCUGCUCUGCUGGGCAAACAGCAUAGAGACCCCAAACGGCGUUUGCCACGGGGAAAACUCCUCUCUCUGUUUCUAGUUUGAAUGUUUGCUACCUAUUAAUAAGUUCCUGUACAUAUUUUAUCCUAGAAUGUUUCCAUAACCAUGUAAAGAAUCCUUUAAUAUUAAUAUACAGUGGUUGGGGGUGGCAGAGUCCAGAAUAUUGAGUUUAAUAAAUCUAUAUUUUUA